CUGCUCGAGUCUCAGGAAGUAGCGCUUGACUGGAUGGAAGUGUGUCUGUGGUUGUGUGUGUGUGUGUGGGGAGCAGUGUGUAUGUGACUGUGUGUGAGGGGGGGCAGGGAGGGGUUGGGGUUGUUGAAUAUAAUCAACCAGCGGCGCAAUCAGUUAGCGGAUAAGAACUCUCCUGGGAUGCAUUUCAGCCGAUCGAAGACGUCGUCGGAAAAUCGCUAAUGCUCAAACAGUGGUUUCUGGAAAGGCUGAUAAGUGUUUUGGAGGCACCCUGCAGAGCAAGCCUCACACGCAGAAGAUGUGAAUUCGACACCGCACCCCGCCUAUGAGCGGAAAAUAACAACAACACUUAACACAGACCCAGCUCCACAUGUCAGGCCUUCAUCAUGGGCUUGUUCCUCCCUCGUCCCCACGCCGCUACCCCCACAGCGGAGGCAGCCAACAGGGCCAGGACGCGGGGGAUGGACGAGGGGAACACGAGCACCAGGACACACAAAUCAUACGCCGCCACCAAACACUCAAUGGCCGUCUGGCUAAUUUGUGCUUGUUUUGUUGCAGUGCAUCUGCAGAAGGGGGCAGAUGGUGGAAUGGUGGGGAAGGACAACAGAGGGUGAGACAGAGAGAGAGAGAGGGAGAGGGAGGGG
ensembl:lncRNA